rnacentral:rRNA from 1 species
GGGUGAGUAACACGUAGGUGACCUACCCUUUUGCGGGGGAUAACCAGGAGAAAUCUUGGCUAAUACCGCAUAAGCAUAACUUUUUUGGAAAGGGUUAUGGAAAGAAUGCCUCUACUUGUAAGCAUUCACAGAAGGAUGGGCCUGCGGUGCAUUAGCUAGAUGGUGGGGUAAUGGCCUACCAUGGCGACGAUGCAUAGCCGGAUUGAGAGAUUGAUCGGCCACACUGGAACUGAGACACGGUCCAGACUCC